rnacentral:rRNA from 1 species
AUACGUAGGUGGCAAGCGUUGUCCGGAAUUAUUGGGCGUAAAGCGCAUGUAGGCGGUAAUUUAAGUCUGUCGUGAAACUGCGGGGCUCAGCCCCGUAUGGCGCUGGAAACUGGGUUACUUGAGGGCAGGAGAGGAAAGGGGAACUCCCAGUGUAGAGGUGAAAUGCGUAGAUAUUGGGAAGAACACCGGUGGAGAAGGCGCCUUUCUGGACUGUGUCUGACGCUGAGAUGCGAAAGCCAGGGUAGCGAACGGGAUUAGAUACCCCGGUAGUCCUGGCCGUAAACGAUGGGUACUAGGUGUGGGAGGUAUCGACCCCUUCCGUGCCGGAGUUAACGCAAUAAGUACCCCGCCUGGGGAGUACGGCCGCAAGGCUUAAACUUAAAUGAAUUGACGGGG